rnacentral:rRNA from 1 species
CCUACGGGCGGCAGCAGUGGGGAAUAUUGGACAAUGGGGGGAACCCUGAUCCAGCCAUGCCGCGUGUGUGAAGAAGGCCCUCGGGUUGUAAAGCACUUUCAGUGAGGAAGAACGCCUGGUGGUUAAUACCCAUCAGGAAAGACAUCACUCACAGAAGAAGCACCGGCUAACUCCGUGCCAGCAGCCGCGGUAAUACGGAGGGUGCGAGCGUUAAUCGGAAUUACUGGGCGUAAAGCGCGCGUAGGUGGCUUGAUAAGCCGGUUGUGAAAGCCCCGGGCUCAACCUGGGAACGGCAUCCGGAACUGUCAAGCUAGAGUGCCGGAGAGGAAGGUAGAAUUCCCGGUGUAGCGGUGAAAUGCGUAGAGAUCGGGAGGAAUACCAGUGGCGAAGGCGGCCUUCUGGACUGACACUGACACUGAGGUGCGAAAGCGUGGGUAGCAAACAGGAUUAGAUACCCUAGUAGUC